rnacentral:rRNA from 1 species
UCAUGGGAGUGGAUGGUACCAGAAGCGGGUAGUUUAACCAUGGAGAAAUCCAAGGGUGACGUCUGCCACGGUAUGAUUCAUGACUGGGACG